CGGAGGAAGGUGGGGAUGACGUCAAGUCAUCAUGGCCCUUAUGUCCAGGGCGACACACGUGCUACAAUGGCCGGCACAGCGGGAAGCGAGGCAGUGAUGCCAAGCGGAUCCCUUAAAGCCGGUCUCAGUUCGGAUUGCAGGCUGAAACUCGCCUACAUGAAGUUGGAGUUGCUAGUAAUCGCGAAUCAGAAUGUCGCGGUGAAUGCGUUCCCGGGUCUU
rnacentral:rRNA from 1 species